CGGACUGUCUCUGCUGGAAACUGGAACAAGACAUUUUUAGAGGGUAGGUGAAAAAGCAGGGAUCAUCCAACUCCAGAGCAUCUGGCAGGCACCAUGGCACCUGAUCAGUGUCAUAAGCAUUGAAGAUGCUUGGUGAAGGGUUGACACUUACUUACUGGUGCCAUGGCCUCAAGUUGCUCUGCUGCCUCGCUCAUGUCAAACCUCUCGAUCUCAGAGUUGACUCUGUGUAGCUCCUCUGGCGA